rnacentral:tRNA from 1 species
GUUCUGGUGGCACAAUGAGUAAGUGCUCAGUUCCUAACUGAAAGGUCGGUGGUUCAAACCCACCCAGCAGCU